UACGAAGGGGGCUAGCGUUGCUCGGAAUUACUGGGCGUAAAGCGCACGUAGGCGGCUUUCUAAGUCGGGGGUGAAAUCCUGGAGCUCAACUCCAGAACUGCCUUCGAUACUGGAAAGCUCGAGUCCGGGAGAGGUGAGUGGAACUGCGAGUGUAGAGGUGAAAUUCGUAGAUAUCAGGAAGAACACCGGUGGCGAAGGCGGUGGUCUGGGCCAUUACUGACGCUGAGGAGCGAAAGCCAGGGGAGCGAACGGG
rnacentral:rRNA from 1 species